rnacentral:rRNA from 1 species
AUAGAUUAAAUUAUUUAAAUGUUUGGAGAAAUUUAGUAUAAAAAAUAUAAUUUAAGUUUAGUACAUAAAGGAAUAAAUAAUAUUAAUAAUAGUUUAUAGUAUUGAAAAAGAAAAUGAUAUAUAAAGUAAAGAAUAAAUUAAGUUUUGUACCUUUUGUAUCAGGGAUUUACAAAUAAUAUAAAUAUUAUUAAAUUCUCGAAUAUAUAUUUGAUUUAUAUUAUUAAUAAAAAUAAUUAUAAUGUUGCAAUAUUAAUUUAUAAAAUAAUAUAGGAGUGAAAUGCUAAAACGCAAAAUAAGAUAUCUAGUUUUAAAAAGAAGUGUAUAUUUAUUAUACAUUAAAAAUUGUAAGGGUUAAGCUUUAUAAAUCUUUCUAUAAAUUGAAUUAAUAUAGUUAAUAAAGUAUAGGAUUGAUAGUAUUAAUAAUUUUAAGUGUGUAUAAACUUUGCCAAUAAUAAUAUAUUUAGAGACAAAAAUAAAAUUUUUAAUUAUUAAAAUUAGUAAGAAUGUAUAUAUAAGUAUAAUUAUUAUAUAAAUAAUAAAAAAAAAGUAAAAUUAGUUUAAGGAACUCGGCAAAAAUAUUUCUUCGACUGUUUAUCAAAAACAUUUCUUUUAGAAUGGUAUAUUAAAAGUAUAACCUGCUCAAUGAAAAUUAUUAAAUAGCCGCAGUAAUUUAACUGUGCAAAGGUAGCAUAAUAAUUUGUUUUUUAAUUGGAGACUGGAAUGAAAGGUUGAACGAAAGAAAAACUGUCUCAAAUUUAAUUUUUGAAAUUUAUUUUUAUGUUAAAAAGCAUAAAUUUAAUUAAGGGACGAAAAGACCCUGUUAAGUUUUAUAAUUGUAAUUAUAAUAAUUAUUUAUAAUAAUUAAUUAUUUAUCUGGGGCGGAGACAUAACAAAUAACUUAUGUAAAAAUAAAUAAUAUUAAAUUUAUUAAAUAUCUUAUUUGAAAAAAAUAAAAUAAAUUACUACAGGGGUAACAGCAUAAUUUUUUUUAAAAGCUCAAAUUAUAAAAAAAGAUUGUGACCUCGAUGUUGGAUUAUCAUAACCUAUACAAUGAAGUUGUUUAUAAGGUAUGCCUGUUCGGCAUUUAAAAUUUUACAUGAUCUGAGUUCAGACCGGCGUGAGCCAGGUCAGUUUUUAUCUUUAAUUAUAAAAUAUUAAAAUUAUAAAAGUACGAAAGGACAAUAUAA